GUUUAUUCAAUCCAUUGUUCUGCUCUCAAAACAAUGUAUGUUCUUCCAAUUUUGAGUGUUAGCAUACCAUCUUUGUGGGCAUUUUCAGAUCUUUAAAUGAAGGUGUCUACUUAUUUUGAAAAUGAAAGAUCCAUUGGCUUCUCUCUCUCACUCAUAAAUCAUAACUGAUAGCAGGCAGUUGCAAUCUGUAAUUUUUUGCUUAGUAUCCUUAGUUUCUCAUUGUCUUUGACCUAUUUAAUCAUAGGAACAAGUAAGAAGUGGUGAUGCU
rnacentral:misc_RNA from 1 species